GCGAAAGCGAAUGCGGGCGCCGGCCGAGAGGCAGUGCCAGAAGAGGGUCACCAGGGAUCACAGAUGCCGACCAGCCUCGCUGCCGACAUGCUACGGGCGAAACCAGCUUAGAGGGAACACGUUGAAGCCUGUGAGAAGAGCACAGCUUUCAGAGAUCAUGAGCGAUGAUUUGAGAUGAGCCCAGACAGGAGAGGAGAGGAGAGAGGAGCACUUUUGUCACAGGAGAAGAGGGGGCACUUGGCAGUGCUAUCAGACAUGAUGCAGGAGGUGGAGUUAGACAUCUAACAGUAGACUACAAGACUUCGGAGCAUCGUAGCAUGCAGACUAUACAGGCUGCAGCACUGUUAUUAUCCUCAUUAUAGU